GUUGCGUCGAGCGAUACCAGCCACAGCGCCGCGCGAUAUAAACACAACACCGCAGUUCCCUCGCCACAUCCUAUCUGCAACAGCUUCUGACGCUGGCAUGAUCACUGUUGUCGAGUCAUUCACCAACAAAACACAAACGUGGAAUAUCAAAUUCGUUUGUACCAAAGAAAAGAAUUUGUGAAAGAUGAAAAGCCGAGUGAAUUGGAAGAACGUUCUGUUGGCGCUGACCAAACGGGGUAAAGUGGACAUGGCGGGUAUUGUCAGUUUGGAAGGACAGACAUUGGCAUGUACGGGAAACUGGGACAUAAAACCUUCGGAGAUUCUUGGAAUCACUGUGACAAUUGGAAGUCCUUACCCCGCUAUGACGAAAAUCAAGUUCUUUAACACUCUUUUCACGUGUUUCCACCACAAUGAAUCUGGAACUAUUAUUGGUAGGUCGGAACAUUUGAUGCUUGUGGCGCACCAGACUAAGUCGUGUGUUUUAAUUGGACUGAAAGACUCGGAUGCUCCUGGGUCAUGUAUAUAUGAGAUAACGGAACUUGGAAAACAGAUUGAUCUGAGAGGAUUUUGAUCCUGUGGAAUAACCUUGUUCCAAGUCACUGCAGAGUAGAUGCAGCAAGAUCCAUGGACUUGCAACAAAAUCUGUGGAAUUGCCUUAACGGUUGACAUGGAUUAUCAGAAAUCAUUGAAGAUACCGAUAACAAUGAUGAUGAUUUAAACGCACAAAUUUCUACACCACGGAGAGACAUGGCACCACGGAGAGACAUGGAGAGACAGCUCGAACGACAUGGCAAUAUUACCCCACUACGGACCAGAGUGCAUUCCCGUUGCAUUCUCAACUUCCUGGGAAGAAUCCAUUUAUAUACGUGAACUUGGUUCUAUUUGAUCGUAUCAAUAGAUACAGAAAUCCGUCCGAGGAGACAAAGUGGACUUGUGGAGCGAGUUUGUAUAUUUAAGGUACUUUUACAGGUGAUAUUAACACCUUAAAUUUAUGACGUUUACACAUCUGAAGGUAUUCUUAAUGAUCUACUAGACACUCUUCACGCCGACUUGUAAAGUGCUGAGCGCCAAAGGAGUAGUGUUUUCAACGAGACACAAACAAUGUGAUGAGACUUAUUCAAUUUUAACCUAUACAUCUUAACUAUAUCGUGUUUUCUAUAUUACUAUCUGUUGUUAACAUCUAGUGUUUUGUCGUUAGCUAUGCAAGAUUUGCUUUGAUCGUGAACCACAUUCACGUUUCACAGGCAAAGUCUUAACAUUUUGUAAGCUGAUAUUUUUUAGAAUAAAACACUGAAAUAUU